AAUUUUAAUCAUAUAAAUUAGAUAUCUUAUUUUUCAUACAACUUCAUAUCACAUAUAACAAACCUAGAAUUUCAAGAUCGAGAAUUUUGUAGAAAAGUAAGUUCUUCCUUUUACAUUCUUCAUCAUGGGAUCUAAUCACAUGAUACCCCUAUAUGCCACAAGAGCAUCCUAUCGAUUGAAAAGAGAGAAUCUUUAAACCCUUCUUGCCCCU
rnacentral:lncRNA from 1 species